rnacentral:rRNA from 1 species
GACGAACGCUGGCGGCGUGCUUAACACAUGCAAGUCGAACGGAAAGGCCCUUCGGGGUACUCGAGUGGCGAACGGGUGAGUAACACGUGGGUGAUCUGCCCUGCACUUUGGGAUUAGCCUGGGAUAAUGGGUCUAAUACCGAAUAGGACCACGCGCUUCAUGGUGUGUGGUGGAAAGCUUUUGCGGUGUGGGAUGGGCCCGCGGCCUAUCAGCUUGUUGGUGGGGUAAUGGCCUACCAAGGCGACGACGGGUAGCCGGCCUGAGAGGGUGACCGGCCACACUGGGACUGAGAUACGGCCCAGACUCCUACGGGAGGCAGCAGUGGGGAAUAUUGCACAAUGGGCGCAAGCCUGAUGCAGCGACGCCGCGUGAGGGAUGACGGCCUUCGGGUUGUAAACCUCUUUCAAUAGGGACGAAGCGCAAGUGACGGUACCUAUAGAAGAAGCACCGGCCAACUACGUG